rnacentral:miRNA from 1 species
CAAAAUUUUUCACCGCGGUAGUU